UCUACUUGUUUGGAAUACUUGUUUCCUUUCCUUCGCAGCUCUUUGUUUUCUAAAUAACAUGCUCAUACACCAGCACAUAUUUUUCAGUAUUUUAUUUAUUCUGCUUUCUAUUAAUCUGUGAGCUUGAUCAGGAGUGGCAUGGGAGUUUUUCAUGCAUUAUUGUUGUUUGUAAUUGUUCUGAUUGUUUCAUCAGGAAGAAUGAAAAUUAAACGUUGCUUUCAAAAAAAAUUGUAGGUAAAGAUUAAUUUGUCCAUUGAAGAAUCACAUGUAAAAGAUUGUGUGAUGCACACGAUGAGCAAGAGAUUUUCUGAUUUUCACUCAAAGGCUUAUGUACAUUAUAAAAAACAUGGAGGUGGAAUGUUAGCAAGACAAAAGCCUUACAAAGAACUUAUCGAGAGACCAGAUGAUUGGAUUUGGUUAUAAAAAAUCGGAAUCAAACUGUCGAAAUCGUUCGAUGUUGAAGGUCAUUCACCGAAUAGGCACAAAGUCCCUUGUAGCUCAUUUAUAUGACCAGAAAUUAAGCAGGAUUGAGUUAUACAAGGAGGAGUUUACAGACAAAGAAAAGAAAUGGGUUUCUGAAGAUUGUCAGGCAAAAUAUGACAAGAUGAUGGAAAUUCGUGAGAAAAUUAUUGACGAUGGAGGAAUAGUUGAUGAGACAAUCAUUUGCGCUGAAGUUUUAGGUGAAACAUCGUCAUAGAUUCGUGGCCUUGGUUAUGGGCCAAAGUCGAUAAAGAAAACUAAAAUUAUCAGAUCAAAUGCAUCAUCCGAGAGAGAGAUCGAGCUUGAAACCAGUUUAAAAGUUAUAAAAGAGAAAUAUGAGGAACAGAGUAAGAUCAUUAAAUCUCAACAAAAAACUAUAGAUUGGUUAAAAAUGAUAGAAGAAAAAAUGGGCAUGCAACACCCUAAUGAUGAUGGUAAGUAUUUAGAAUAUGCACAUUAAGGUUGACUUAAUAAAAUUCAAAAUUUUGUUUAACUAAUAUUAUAAAUUUAUUCUUGUAGGUCCAGGCUUCUCAAAUGAUGAAAAUGAUGACUAGAUAUCUAAUUUAUGUCUAUUUUUUGAAACUAUAAUGUUAAUAAUUUACUUUCAAUUUAGCUCUUAAACUACCUUAUUUUUUUUAUCAAUUUCCUUCUUUUAACACAUGGUUGUUUUCUCUAUUUGUAAUAUAUUCCCGUUGUAGCAAUUUGAACGUUGUUAGGAACAUAAUUUUGAAAUGGAAAUUUCUUGUUUUAAUUUAAUCUAUGAUUGAGAACUUCUCGUUCUUGCUUAAAUCCAAGUUUCCUAAAUUUAAACUUGUACUGUGAGUCUUUGACUUGUGGGAUUAAGAGAAACUAUUUAGUUUUUAAUUUUUGGGUUAUAAAUAUGACUAUUGUUAUAUGUAAAAUUCAUUAAUUAUUUUACAACAAUAUAUGUUUUCUCUUUGUUUUUGUGUGUUUGAAGAUGUGGAUUCUUUGACUACUUACAAGUUUUGAUGCCAACUUUGUAAGUAUAAUUAUUCUAUUCCUAGUAUGAGUUGUGGAUUUCUUAUUUGGUGAUCUCUAUCUUUGUUCCAUCAUCUAAACUAAUUUGUGAUUGUUUUGUUUAUGCGAUUGAGAUUUUAUCUUAUUCAUUACAAGUGGUGCGCUCAAGUAGGAGCAUAAUAGGAGGCCUUGACUUCUCCGUUGAUCUCAAGUUUGGGUGUUUCGGGGACCUUAGAGUGGCUGAUAAGUGGAAGGAGCAAAUUUUGUUUUCACUUCCGCUGGUGUUUCUCAUUGGGAGAAUGACAAAGAGGCAGCAACUCUUCGAAUUGGAUUUGUAUAUUUCAAAA